rnacentral:rRNA from 1 species
GACGAAGGGGGCUAGCGUUGUUCGGAAUUACUGGGCGUAAAGCGCGUGUAGGCGGUUGUUCAAGUCAGGUGUGAAAGCCUUGAGCUCAACUCAAGAAAUGCACUUGAUACUGGAUAACUAGAGGACCGGAGAGGAUAGUGGAAUUCCCAGUGUAGUGGUGAAAUACGUAGAGAUUGGGAAGAACACCAGUGGCGAAGGCGGCUAUCUGGACGGUUUCUGACGCUAAG